AUUGAAAGUGAGCUUGUAUUAUAAAUUAUUCAUACUCUCAAGCUAUAAACCAAAGGCUCUCUCACUCUUUAGUUCCUUAAGGUGCAAGGCUAGAGAAGAAGUUGAAAAAAUGGAUGCACCCCGAUAUCAGGAGAUGGCUUAUCUUGAUCAUGUGAAACGUCGACGCGAGGAAAAAGGAUGCCUUUAUGCUUGUUUGUUCGCAAUGUGUUGCUGCUUCUGUUGCUACGAGACCUGUGAGUGCUGUCUGGACAUGCUCUGCUGCUGUACUUGAUGUCCCUCCUAGCCAUGCCAACUCUGUGUCAAUGUUAGCAACAUAAGCUAAAUAUGGAAUUUGUUUCCCUGGUUUUUCACACUAUGUUUCUUCCACGUCUCUUUUGUUACCUUCCACUGUAUAUGUAAAACUCUGAAGUUGAAUAAACUUGUUAUGUAAUGAAUCCCAUUUCCCAUGGCAAA